CAACGGCCGCGGUAUCAUGACCGUGCAAAGGUAGCGUAAUCACUUGUCUUUUAAAUAAAGACCUGUAUGAAAGGCAAAACGAAAGUUCAACUGUCUCUUUAAUCCAAUCAAUAAAAUUUAUCUCUCCGUGCAGAAGCGGAAAUAAAUAUAUAAGACGAGAAGACCCUAUGGAGCUUUAAACACACUAUUAACUACUACAAUAUUUUAAACCAACAGGCAAAAAAUCAUAAACCACAUAGUCAUAAUAUAAGUUUUAGGUUGGGGCGACCGCGGAAGAAAAAAAAUCCUCCGAGAUAAACAAUUUAGAAUAACACUUCGAAAAUUAAAACAUUUAUUAUAAAUGAUCCACUAAGUGACCAACGAACCAAGUUACCCUAGGGAUAACAGCGCAAUCCUUUCUAAGAGUCCGUAUCGACGAAUGGGUUUACGACCUCGAUGUUGGAUCAGGACACCCAAAUGGUGCAGCCGCUAUUAAAGGUUCGUUUGUUCAACGAUUAAAGUCCUAC
rnacentral:rRNA from 1 species